rnacentral:rRNA from 1 species
UAGGGAAUCUUCCGCAAUGGACGCAAGUCUGACGGAGCAACGCCGCGUGAGUGAAGAAGGUUUUCGGAUCGUAAAACUCUGUUGUAAGAGAAGAACAAAUUGUAGAGUAACUGCUACAGUCUUGACGGUAUCUUACCAGAAAGCCACGGCUAACUACGUGCCAGCAGCCGCGGUAAUACGUAGGUGGCAAGCGUUGUCCGGAUUUAUUGGGCGUAAAGCGCGCGCAGGUGGUUUAGAAAGUCUGGUGUGAAAGCCCACGGCUCAACCGUGGAGGGUCAUUGGAAACUAAUAAACUUGAGUGCAGGAGAGAAAAGUGGAAUUCCUAGUGUAGCGGUGAAAUGCGUAGAGAUUAGGAGGAACACCGGUGGCGAAAGCGGCUUUUUGGCCUGCAACUGACACUGAGGCGCGAAAGCGUGGGGAGCAAACAGG